AACGAACGCUGGCGGCAUGCCUAACACAUGCAAGUCGAACGAGACCUUCGGGUCUAGUGGCGCACGUGGGCGUAACGCCGGGGAACCUGCCCGUAGGUUCGGUAUAACUCCCCGAGAGGGGUGCUAAUACCGGUUAAUGUCUUCGCACCAAAGAUGUAUCGCCGUUGGAUGGGCCCGCGUUGGUUUAGCUAGUUGGUAGGGUAAAAGCCUACCAAGGCGACGAUCCAUAGCUGGUCGGAGAGGAUGAUCAGCCACACUGGGACUGAGACACGGCCCAGACUCGUACGGGAGGGAGCAGUGGGGAAUAUUGGACAAUGGGCGAAAGCCUGAUCCAGCAAUGCCGCGUGAGUGAUGAAGGGGUUAGGGUUGUAAAGCUCUUUUAGACGGGAUGAUAAUGACAGUACCGGGAGAAUAAGCUCCGGCUAACUCCGUG
rnacentral:rRNA from 1 species